GGUGGUUCAGUGGUAGAGCACUUGCCUUGCAUGCAUGAGGACCUGGGUUCGAUUCCUCAGCACCA
rnacentral:tRNA from 1 species